AAACAUAAAUUAGGGUGAAAUGAAAUAAGUAUCUUGCAGAUGAGAAUUAAAGUGUCUAGUGUUACAGAUAUGAAUAAUCAAUUAUCUAGGUAAUUUGUGAAUUUCACGAGCAUAAUGAGUAGUUACAAGAAUUCUAGUAUGCAAUUCGGUUUGUCUCUCGCAGAAAGAUGCAGAGGGCUUCACAAACGUUCCUGUGGCUGUAGCCUAGUACAGAUAGCCCCAAAGGAAAGAAUUACAGGAAGCGUCAAAUUCAAUCCGAGUUUUUGGAAGGGUUCUUCAUGAAAAUAUUUUCCGUUGAAUAAUGAAACGGCGGCAUGUCAAAAGGAAGUGUUGCAGAGAUUCACUCUCAUUGCAUAAAGGACACAAAAGCGAUAAAGCCAGACCAGACCUGUGGAGGUAAUAGUUCAGGGACUCUGCACCGUAGUCUUCUUAUCGCUUCGGCUGACAUUGUCUUCGUCUGAUCCUGCCGCUUUCUAUGCACGUGCACGUUUCUUCGUAUGAUCUGCAGUGUAAAACUUUCUUUCUAUGCCUGCGAAUGUUCCGCCAAUGUCGGAAAAACUGUGGAGAGGAUACAAGGCUCGCUGCGCGGCUGUGCGAUGUGGCAACUCGGGGAGCAACGCAAGGGCGAAAUUUUUCCGUUCACCAGCGGACGAGAGAUGUGACAUUUGGCGAAAUUACGCUGAAUGGGGAGUCCUGGCGGGGCUUCCAUGGGAGCAGAUGACACAGCGGCUAUACGGCCUCUGCUCUGACCACUUCAGAGGAAGGGACUGCGCCGACCUCGUCGUGGUCGGCUGUGCCGACUGUUGGAGUGGAAGAGCGGUCCCUCAUCGAUGAAGGUUCUGCACUGCCACAGCGAGGCCAAAAGCGGAAAACACACUCACCAGACACCGCAGGCGUCACCAACCGACUGAGAAAUGAUACACAAACGUAUCGCAAGACAGCGAAAUUAAAGCGAUGCCGAAAUAUUACCACGAGGGAAGCACCAGACAAGUUGAUGUAUCAUCUGAGCCCAGAGUUCCACCAAUUCUUGCAGUGCCAGUUGACGCUCCACUAUCGCAAGAGGAAGGGAAGGACAUGGAUAAAUCUUUUCCGGAGCACAUUGGUGUGGCCACGCAGUUUUGCGGUGUGUCCACUGUACUGAAAGAUAAGCUAAACAGCAGUGUACUAUAAGAUAUAUUUCGUUCUAAUAAGUAUCGCAUAGGUCUGCUGCAGUAGUUCUGCUAUGCGUAGCUUAUGCUGCUCAUAAAUGACAUCAAUCUGGAUCUCAAAAAACAGCGUGAGAGAACACCCGUUGCAGAAAGAAAGCCCCAAAAGCUUGAAAACUACGAAAAAAUUAUUGCGGGUAUUUUGUUCUUUUUGUAAUUCCGAUAGCUUUUAGGGCGCUCUCCUGAUUAGCCUCUCUCUAGAAUAUAUUGCGGCAUAUAUCAAUAUUUGCAUAAACAUCGUGCAACGUGUUCUUUCUGCAGACAGUGAUUGCUCUCACACUUUCACCCUCCUCUUCAAAGAUUAUUACAUAGCUACCAUACAUGGAUCUUGGGAUGCUAGAAUCUUCUUGAGCUUACUUCAGUAAAGUUGUGCAUGUACUAAUGUUGCUCAGCACUCUUGACUUCAGUGGUUUCAUUAACAUAGCAAAAGUGGGAAGGGAAAGGGGGCGUCUCCUUUCGGCAAAGUCACCAAUAAUCUUAAUACGAAAGGAAAGAAUGCUAUGCCAGAGACGAGUGUCCUAUAAAAGUUAAAAUGCUUUCACCUCCUUAUUGUGUCGACACCGAAAUUCUCAUGGCGGAUGACCUCCAGCAAAUGGGAAUCCGGUAACACAGCUCUAACACCUGUCCUGUGCUUCAAACAAGUCGCACGAAACUGAGCCUACAGGUUCUGUUAAAGAAAGUGCGUAAUGUACACUCAGCGAGGAAGGUCUUGCAAACAACUCAAAAGGGAUUUGUUCUGAGCAGGUUGCCCGGACGCAUUGAAUGCAGCUGACUUGCGUUGCUUUUAGAAAAUACUUCUCCAUGUCCCAAAGCUACGCGUUCAAUAAUACCUUUGUGCAUCACUCUGUACUUGCCCAACCUCUACUGACGAUCAACCGCCCAUGGUUCUCCUGCAUUUACUGUUUCUCAAAAAAUAUAUAUAAAAGAAACUUCGCGCUAUUUGUUAUUGUCUUGAAACUGUGCCAUUUAUGCCUAGCUGACGGUAGAACAAACGAAGUGCAGUGCAAAUUUGAAGAGACACCUGCAAUAUGCUCGCGAAGAAUUUCGUGUUGAUACACUGCUCGUAAUGUUACAGAUCUGAAUGAAGCUCUAUAGUGGUCUUACAUGUUGUAUUGCGAAACAAAACCACAUAUGAAAAGAGACUGCAGACAUUUUCAAUAUAAUUUUCUGGAUAUUUAUCGGCACAUUAGCACAAGGAGAGCUAUGCAGAAAAUUGAAUAGGUAUAGCGUGUUGCUUGGACUAGGAAGUAUACCCGUUGUAUGGAAUAAAAAAGGAAGUUUUUGUUACUGGUAUGCGAAAAAUGUGAAUUUGCUGCUCUUAAUAAUCGUUUUGUUAUACACAAAUAACUUGCGACAAAAAUUGCUUUGGUAGAGUUGCUACGUGCACAGCAAACAAACAUGGCCUCUGUAGCAAUUUUGUCUAUAAGGAAUUUUAGAAAACUUUCUUACCUCUGUAUGAUCGUAGUACAGAAUGCGCUUAUUUGUACUGACUUAGCUCUACAUUAUUGUGUUGUGUACUGAAUGCGCUGUUGUGCAACAGGUUGCUAAUAAAAACAGUGAAUAAACAACAUUUUUCUGCCUA